UCUCAUCAAGCUCUACAACUUUCAUAACUAGCACAAACACCAAUUCCAAGCCUAACUAGGGCUAUCGACUAAAAACAUCAAAAACACCAUAAAACUUCCACUUCAAAUUUCUCCUUACCUAGCUCAAGAGGGAGUGAGUCCUUUUAGGGCAAGGUUGCUGGGUUGGAGGGCUACAAAACCAUACCAAGCUUGCCCGGAUUGGUGGCCGGAGGAGGAAGUUCCGGCGAAGUGAAGGUUUGGACAGUCGGACCUUACGGGUGGCACCGCUCCUUCACGGCGGCGCUAGGGCUCCUCUCACCGGUCUAGAAAUGUUGCUGGGAGGGAGACCGACAGAACGGGACCGGUCCGGUGGCGAACGGAGGUCGGACGGCGGCGGGAGGACGGCCGGAAAACCGGUGGGUGUAGAGAGAAGAAAAUCGGGUGAGAAGAGAAGAAAAAUCGGGAGGGAGGGAGAGAGAAAAGAAAAAGGGUUUGGGCCUCACACCCCAAACCGGUCCACACCAUUUAUAACCCAAACUUCCAAAAUAAAAACACUCCGAAAAAUAAUACCCGAAUAAAAAUUACCUUUUUCUAGCUAAAAUUUACUAUUUUUACCGUCGUUGUAUUUUCCUCAUACGAAUAAUCCUCCGCACAUAAUCGUCCCCGAAACCCCUCUAGGGACCAAUUAAACUAUUUACUCAAUGAUCGAGACGGUAAAAUUCUUAUUAUAAUCACGCUAGUAAAUAAGGUAAAAAUAUAAGGGUCGGGAUGUGACAUACCAUGUGAGGUUGAAUCUUAACUUGUUUACUACAUGCUACAGCUUUACAUUCACCAUGAUUAUGUCUUCGUCCUACAUGUUACGUGUGUGUCAUGUAUUGACAUUAACCUUCGAAAUUCCGUGGAUUGAACUGAAUUAUCAUGUGAUCUUGGUGUUGCAAUGUUAGGGAGAUUGCUGAGACAAAGUGUUAAGGGCAUUAGAGUUUUGUAGUCUGUGCUAUUGUUGAGUCUUUUCAGAGUCUUAGUUUAGUGUUUUGCUCGAGGACUAGCAAAAGAUAAGUGUGGGGUAUUUUGAUAGUCGCAUAUUUGUGCGACUUUUAUCAUGCUAAUUAUUCUUAUUACUUAUUUAUUUUGUGAUGUUUUCCUAUUUUUAAUUAACUUUAUUUGUUUUUAGGUGUUUUGAAGUCAAACAAAGAAAAGGAGAUAAUUGGGCUUAAUUAGGACCCCUAAUCCUAGUUGGAUUGGUGAUGGACGUGACAAAUAGGUUCACUAACCUAUUUCAACGAGAAGAGCAGCCGAACAAGGGGGAGAGG
rnacentral:lncRNA from 1 species